ACACGACUACAUUAGAUACCCGUGUAGUCCUAGCCGUAAACGAUACUCGCUAGGUGUCGGCCACGGUGCGACCGUUGUCGGUGACGUAGGGAAGCCGUGAAGCGAGCCACCUGGGAAGUACGGCCGCAAGGCUGAAACUUAAAGGAAUUGGCGGGGGAGCACCACAACGGGUGGAGCUUGCGGUUUAAUUGGAUUCAACGCCGGAAAUCUUACCGGGACCGACAGCAACAUGAAGGCCAGGCUGAAGACUUUGCCGGAUUAGCUG
rnacentral:rRNA from 1 species